UACAGAGGGUGCGAGCGUUAAUCGGAAUUACUGGGCGUAAAGCGUGCGUAGACGGUCAUGUAAGUCGGGUGUGAAAGCCCCGGGCUCAACCUGGGAAUUGCAUUCGAGACUGCAUGGCUAGGGUGCGGAAGAGGGAAGCGGAAUUUCCGGUGUAGCGGUGAAAUGCGUAGAUAUCGGAAGGAACACCAGUGGCGAAAGCGGCUUCCUGGUCCACUACUGACGCUGAGAAGCGAAAGCGUGGGAGCGAACAGG
rnacentral:rRNA from 1 species